rnacentral:rRNA from 1 species
GUGCCAGCCGCCGCGGUAAGACAGAGGGUGCAAACGUUGUUCGGAAUUACUGGGCGUAAAGCGUGUGUAGGCGGCCUCGCAAGUCGGGUGUGAAAGCCCCAGGCUCAACCUGGGAAGUGCACUCGAUACUGCUUGGCUAGAGUGUCGGAGAGGUUGGUGGAAUUCUCGGUGUAGAGGUGAAAUUCGUAGAUAUCGAGAGGAACACCGGUGGCGAAGGCGGCCAACUGGACGAACACUGACGCUGAGACACGAAAGCGUGGGGAGCAAACAGGAUUAGAAACCCCGGUAGUCC